UAGAUGUUUUCCCCGACCAAGGAGGCUGCUCCACACCUGGACCUCCCAAAUUCUGGGGCACACAGGGCUCAUCUGCCGAUUUUGCCCACUUCUGCAUCCACGUCUCCUUCACUCCUCAAGACAUCACCUCCUUGUCCCUGCCAGUCCGCCUUUUUCCGGUGGCACAAGACCCAAGUCCAUCCUUGGACAGUGACUAAUUUCGAGGUGUCCUGUGACCCAGCAAGUCCAGUGAGAGCCCUUGAUGAGGAUCUUCCACCGGGCACGGUGAAAGAGAUGCCCCUUUGUCUGGGAUUGCCAAACACAAGGAUUUGAACACCUUCCUGCGAGACCCUACCCGAAAUUCAGCUGGAGCAGUGACAGGUAGCGGAGGCGGGGAGAGAGUUCGGGACCUGGAGAUACUGGCUGAGCCUUUGGUCUGCAAAGGGAGAGCCAGACGCUCACCGCUGGGGAACCACCCCGUCCUCAGGCGUGACCUAACUGAACUGUCUCUGCACCCUCGCAGGCAACGUGCAGACUGUGAAAUGAGGCUCGAAAGGUGGGACGGCUUGUUCAAAGCCCCCCGGUGAGAAAUACUGGUUUGUCCAGACGGGGAAGAGUCGUGCCGCUCCACAAUUCUCCCCACGCGACCCUUGCGCUGUCUCGCCUUCCCUCGCCCGCCGGCAGCCCCCGCAGACUCCUGAUCAGCUCCGGGUCAGCGUCCCGUCAGUGUGGCCGCCAGCGCUUGACUGCUUUCGCUGAGCACUCCACGCCGCCUCGGGGAGCUCAUCGACGUGUCGUAUGUGUCCGUGGUCUGGGCCUCCCCCUUCCGGCAGUGCUCCGUGGUUGGGGCACCCGGACUUGGUCGGAGCAGCCGCUGGCGGGUACGUGGGUUGUUCCAGUUCAUGCUGGUGGUGAAUAAAGCGCCGGUGGGCGUCUGCGUGCGGAUUUCCGCAGGAAUGUGUGCCUCAGUUUCUCAAUGGGACGGCUGCGCCAUCCAGGCCGGGGAGCGCUUCAGUUGUCCCGACACCGCGGUUUUCCGGCGUGGCCGCCCCACCUCACUCUCCCGCCCGCGGCGCGCCGGAGCUCCCACGUCUCCUCAGCCUCACCAGCGCCCGCACUGUCCGUGGUGUCCGUUUUAACGGUUCCCGUGGGAGUCUGCCGCCUCCUCGUCACAGGCUCGAGUCGCGUAUUCCCAGUGGCUGACGAGCUUGGACGUCUCACCGUGUGCCCGUCAUCCACGUACCGUCUUUGGUGAAGUAUGGUGGACGUCUUCUUACUCGUUUUUAAUUAGGUUAUUUGUUUUCAUGCUCACUGAAUUUAAAAAAACGUCUCAGCAUUUGCAGCGUCGUGGCCGGCGCUACGUGCACCAAGCGGAGAAGGACACAUGCCGUGUGCUCUCGCUUGCGUGCGGCAUUUAAGAAACAAAACAAGUGAGCAGAGGAGGAAAAAGAGGGAAAGAGAGAGAGAGACAAAGCAAGAAGCAGACUCUCAACUGCAGUGGACACGGCUGGUCCCCGGGGGGGGGGGGGAGGACGAGGGCCGGGGAGAGCGGGGGAUGGGCCGGAGGAGCGCGAGUCGUGAGGAGCCGCGGGACACGUGUGGAGGGGCUGAGCCGCCGUGCUGUAGCCUGACACUAAGGUCACUGCCUGGUAACUAAGUGGGACUUAAUAAAAACGUAGAGUCUGAGGACAGCUGACGCGUAAUGAACUGCAUACGUGUAAGUCAUACGAUCUGCUGUUUUGCCGUGACGUCUCCAUCCACCAAACCAACACCGUGAUCAAAAUAAAGACUGUGGCGUCAGCUCCCCUGUCCCGGCUGCCCAGUGUCCUUCAGAAGCCCUCACACUCUCCCUUUAGCUCAUUCGUAGGCAACAGUAAGAAUUCGUGUCUCCUCUCUGGGUUUUCUUGUCACUCCCGCUAGAGUUUUUGUAAAUUUCAUUUUGAGAAGCCAGAUUUUCAUUUUAUUGAU